rnacentral:rRNA from 1 species
UACAGAGGUCCCAAGCGUUGUUCGGAUUCAUUGGGCGUAAAGGGUGCGUAGGCGGCGCGGUAAGUCGGGUGUGAAAUCUUGGAGCUUAACUCCGAAACUGCAUUCGAUACUGCCGUGCUUGAGGACUGGAGAGGAGACUGGAAUUUACGGUGUAGCGGUGAAAUGCGUGGAUAUCGUAAGGAAGACCAGUGGCGAAGGCGGGUCUCUGGACAGUUCCUGACGCUGAGGCACGAAGGCCAGGGGAGCAAACGGG